rnacentral:rRNA from 1 species
AUUGAACGCUGGCGGCAGGCCUAACACAUGCAAGUCGAGCGGAGCGGCGGACGGGUGAGUAAUGCCUAGGAAUCUGCCUGGUAGUGGGGGAUAACGUCCGGAAACGGGCGCUAAUACCGCAUACUAUCAGAUGAGCCUAGGUCGGAUUAGCUAGUUGGUGGGGUAAAGGCCUACCAAGGCGACGAUCCGUAACUGGUCUGAGAGUAUGGUCAGUAACACUGGAACUGAGACACGGUCCAGACUACGACGGGAGGCAGCAGUGGGGAAAAUUGGACAAUGGGAGAAAGCCUGAUCCAACCAUGCCGCGUGUGUGAAGAAGGUAUGCGGAUUGUAAAGGACAUUAAGUUGGGAGGAGGUACCAACAGAAUAAGCACCGGCUAACUUCGUGCCAGCAGCCGCGGUAAUUC